GACGAACGCUGGCGGCGUGCCUAAUACAUGCAAGUCGAGCGCAGGAAACUGACGGAACUCUUCGGAGGGAAGGCAGUGGAAUGAGCGGCGGACGGGUGAGUAACACGUAAGGAACCUGCCUCAAGGAUUGGGAUAACUCCGAGAAAUCGGAGCUAAUACCGGAUAGUUCAACGGACCGCAUGGUCCGCUGAUGAAAGGAGCCUCGGCGUCACCUUGACAUGGCCUUGCGGUGCAUUAGCUAGUUGGUGGGGUAACGGCCCACCAAGGCGACGAUGCAUAGCCGACCUGAGAGGGUGAUCGGCCACACUGGGACUGAGACACGGCCCAGACUCCUACGGGAGGCAGCAGUAGGGAAUCUUCCACAAUGGGCGAAAGUCUGAUGGAGCAACGCCGCGUGAGUGAUGAAGGUUUUCGGAUCGUAAAACUCUGUUGUAAGGGAAGAACACGUACGAGAGGGAAUGCUCGUACCUUGACGGUACCUUACGAGAAAGCCACGGCUAACUACGUGCCAGCAGCCGCGGUAAUAC
rnacentral:rRNA from 1 species